GACGAACGCUGGCGGCGUGCUUAACACAUGCAAGUCGAACGGAAAGGCCCUGCUUUUGUGGGGUGCUCGAGUGGCGAACGGGUGAGUAACACGUGAGUAACCUGCCCUUGACUUUGGGAUAACUUCAGGAAACUGGGGCUAAUACCGGAUAGGAGCUCCUGCUGCAUGGUGGGGGUUGGAAAGUUUCGGCGGUUGGGGAUGGACUCGCGGCUUAUCAGCUUGUUGGUGGGGUAGUGGCUUACCAAGGCUUUGACGGGUAGCCGGCCUGAGAGGGUGACCGGCCACAUUGGGACUGAGAUACGGCCCAGACUCCUACGGGAGGCAGCAGUGGGGAAUAUUGCACAAUGGGCGGAAGCCUGAUGCAGCAACGCCGCGUGCGGGAUGACGGCCUUCGGGUUGUAAACCGCUUUCGCCUGUGACGAAGCGUGAGUGACGGUAAUGGGUAAAGAAGCACCGGCUAACUACGUGCCAGCAGCCGCGGUGAUACGUAGGGUGCGAGCGUUGUCCGGAUUUAUUGGGCGUAAAGGGCUCGUAGGUGGUUGAUCGCGUCGGAAGUGUAAUCUUGGGGCUUAACCCUGAGCGUGCUUUCGAUACGGGUUGACUUGAGGAAGGUAGGGGAGAAUGGAAUCCCUGGUGGGAGCGGUGGAAUGCGCAGAUAUCAGGAGGAACACCAGUGGCGAAGGCGGUUCUCUGGGCCUUUCCUGACGCUGAGGAGCGAAAGCGUGGGGAGCGAACAGGCUUAGAUACCCUGGUAGUCCACGCUGUAAACGGCGGGUACUAGGUGUGGGGUCCAUUCCACGGGUUCCGUGCCGUAGCUAACGCUUUAAGUACCCCGCCUGGGGAGUACGGCCGCAAGGCUAAAACUCAAAGGAAUUGACGGGGCCCCGCACAAGCGGCGGAGCAUGCGGAUUAAUUCGAUGCAACGCGUAGAACCUUACCUGGGUUUGACAUGGAUCGGGAGCGCUCAGAGAUGGGUGUGCCUCUUUUGGGGUCGGUUCACAGGUGGUGCAUGGCUGUCGUCAGCUCGUGUCGUGAGAUGUUGGGUUAAGUCCCGCAACGAGCGCAACCCUUGUUCACUGUUGCCAGCACGUUAUGGUGGGGACUCAGUGGAGACCGCCGGGGUCAACUCGGAGGAAGGUGGGGAUGACGUCAAGUCAUCAUGCCCCUUAUGUCCAGGGCUUCACGCAUGCUACAAUGGCUGGUACAGAGAGUGGCGAGCCUGUGAGGGUGAGCGAAUCUCGGAAAGCCGGUCUCAGUUCGGAUUGGGGUCUGCAACUCGACCUCAUGAAGUCGGAGUCGCUAGUAAUCGCAGAUCAGCAACGCUGCGGUGAAUACGUUCCCGGGGCU
rnacentral:rRNA from 1 species